CCUACGGGAGACAGCAGUGAGGAAUAUUGGUCAAUGGACGAGAGUCUGAACCAGCCAAGUAGCGUGAAGGAUGACUGCCCUAUGGGUUGUAAACUUCUUUUAUAAAGGAAUAAAACGAGGCACGUGUGCCUUUUUGCAUGUACUUUAUGAAUAAGGAUCGGCUAACUCCGUGCCAGCAGCCGCGGUAAUACGGAGGAUCCGAGCGUUAUCCGGAUGUAUUGGGUUUAAAGGGAGCGUAGAUGGGUUGUUAAGUCAGUUGUGAAAGUUUGCGGCUCAACCGUAAAAUUGCAAUUGAUACUGGCAGUCUUGAGUACAGUUGAGGUAGGCGGAAUUCGUGGUGUAGCGGUGAAAUGCUUAGAUAUCACGAAGAACCUCGAUUGCGAAGGCAGCUUACUAAACUGUGACUGACAUUGAUGCUCGAAAGUGUGGGUAUCAAACAGGAUUAGAUACCCUGGUAGUC
rnacentral:rRNA from 1 species